rnacentral:misc_RNA from 1 species
GAUGAAGAACGCAGCGAAAUGCGAUAAGUAAUGUGAAUUGCAGAAUUCAGUGAAUCAUCGAAAUCUUUGAACGCACAUUGCGCCCAUUAGUAUUCUAGUGGGCAUGCCUGUUCGAGCGUCAUUAAGUCCACUUAAGCCCUGCUUAGUGUUGGGAGACUGCUCCAGCGGUGCUACCCUGUAGCUACCCUGCAGCUCCUCAAAGACAGCGGCGGAGUUGUGGUAUCCUCUGAGCUUAGUAACUUGUUCUAGCUUUCGAGUACACCACUUCCCCUGCCGUAAAACCCUUAAUUUUUAAUGGUUGACCUCGGAUCAGGUAGGAAUACCCGCUGAACUUAAGCAUAUCAAUAAGCGGAGGA